rnacentral:rRNA from 1 species
AUGGGCACAUCACCCUACCUCCCUCCUCCUCCUCCACUUCGCCUUCCCCCCACUGAUCCAACGAGGCAGACAGGGAAACUUCCUCGCGACCCCGCCCCGCCGCCCACCCCCUCCUCCGCCUCGCCGAGGGAGGGGAUCGCCGACGCCGACGCCGACGCUGCCAUGGCUUCCACCUCCUCCAAGCACGCCAAGCACCGCCGGAUCGGAGAGGACGAGGAGGAGGAGGAGGAGGAGGAGGAGGAGGAGGCCGAGGAAGAGCUCGGGCGAUUUGAUGAUUUCACCAUUGCUUCAUCUUGGGAGAGGUUUAUAUCCGAGAUAGAGGCAAUUUGUCGUCAAUGGCUAGCAGAUGGCCCAAAGAUCUUGAUGCAAAAAGGUGCAGAGACUGUGCCUUCCUUUGAAAACUUGUACAUGGUCAAGCGUGAACUGAAGCAUGGGAAAAGAGUCUACUGUAUGGAGUAUCAUUUUAGGAAAUCUGCAAAAGGCAAAUAUUCGUACUGGGAUGAUGAUACACAUAGUACACAACUAUCCUUUGGAGUAGAUGAGUUUCUGAUAAUUGCCCCCUUGAGUGCCAGCGGUGUUGUUCUUGACGAUCCUGAAUCAACUAAGCUUUUGAGUUCUGUAGCAAUUGCAUUGUCUAAUUGUGGCAGCAAUUGGCCAGCAUUUGUACCUGUUCAUGACCCUUCACGAAAAGCAUAUAUAGGAAUUCAAAACAUGGGAACUGUAUUUACUCGAAGAUUUGAAGCUGAUCGAAUUGGUAGCCAGGUCCCAAUACGACUCAUGCAUCUGGAGGGUUUACAUGAGCUAUUCCUGUCAAAGUUUGUCCUAUCCUCAACAGAUUUUCCAGCAAAGGUAAAGGUAAACUUCUCGAUGAAGCUUACCUACAGAACUCCUGAACAUGAUUAUGAUCAUGAGGAGACUUUGGAUUCUGAAGCUACCGAGUCAAUACCAGAAAGUGAAGUUGCAAGCCAACCCAGAAAACAAUGGGAUGAUGAUUGCCCUUGGGCAGAGUGGUACUCUGCCGAGGAUCCUGUUAAAGGUUUUGAGUUGACAACCAUUUGGGGAGAGAAAAUGUUUGAAGAGAGCUUUGAGAUGGCUGAGGUGGAAAAUGCUUCGUCGUUUGAUGCUGAUAGUUGGCUUCUUCAACCAGUGGUGUCUCCAUACAUGGUUGAUGAUUCUAUUGGGAAGUUUGUUGGGUUUGCAUCCCAGCUACAUCUGCUAGUAAAUGCAUUUGAAUCGUCAGCAGAGGCACAAUUUUUGGAAGAUUUUGUUGCAGAUAAUUCAGGCCAAGACAAUUCAAAAUCUUCUGUUGCUGUGCCUCCACCAUCUGUCAUUGAUCGUGUUAUGAAAGAUCUUUUCAAUGAUGAGGUUGGAAACUCAAAUUAUGUGGAAGCAGAAAACAAGUAUGGUCGCGCUUUGAAAGGAGCACCUUCAGAUUCUCUCUUUGCUCAGUUCUGUUUACAUGCAUUGUGGUUUGGCAACUGCAAUAUGCGUGCAAUAGCAGUCUUAUGGAUUGAUUUUGUGCGCGAAAUUCGUUGGUGCUGGGAGGAGUCAGAACGACUACCGAGGAUGAAAACCACUUCUAGCAUUGACCUCUCUUCUUGUGUAAUCCACCAAAAACUACAAAUGCUUGCGAUAUGCAUUGAGCGGAAGAAAUCAUUGAACCGUAAGAAGGAUACUGAUGAUGCACAUAAAGAAAAGACUUCAAAUAGCAUGGCACCUGAUAAAAUACGUAAAGGAUCAGCAGGCGUUGUCCCUUCAAUGAUGCUGAUAAAUACAUUUCAGGAAAUGCAUGCUCCAUAUACUCAGGAUGCACCUUUGAUGACAGAAGAUAUGCAUGAAGAAAGGCUCCAUGCAGCUGAAGCUUUUGGCAAUGCUGUUGGUUUAUCUGGUCAACUGGAAAGGGAUAUAUUAUCUUCCGAUAUGUCUGCUUUUAAAGCCGCAAACCCAGAUGCUGCUUUUGAAGAUUUUAUUCGGUGGCAUUCACCUGGUGACUGGGUGAGUGAGGACAAAAGUGAUGGUAAUCCAACCUGGCCACCCAAAGGAAGGCUUUCUCAGCGUAUGUCAGAACAUGGGAAUAUGUGGCGCAAAAUUUGGAAUGAUGCCCCAGCUUUGCCUGUCUCUGAACAGAAAUCUCUCCUUGAUUCUGUUCGAGAAGGAGAAAAGGUGGUUCAUUACCUUGAAACUUUGAGGCCACAGCAGCUCCUUGAGCAAAUGGUCUGCACUGCUUUCAAAUCAUCAGCUGACAUUCUAAACAAGACCACAUAUGGUGGCUUCAAAUUAAUGAAGACUAAAAUGGAUCAACUAUAUGCUACAAUGGUGUCAACAUUAAGAUCUCUUCAAGGGAAAUCUGACACAAGUGAUUUGGCUGGAGAUUUGAAGCGACUUUGUCAAGUUUUCGAGCAUAUAGAGAAGUUGCUGAUUUUUGCUGCUUCGGUCCACCGAAAACUUAUAGAUGCUCCAAGACUGGCUCAAUCAAUUUUUACCGACUACUUCAAUUACUAUCUUCCAAAAAUGGGAACCAGCUUGGAAAGUAUUUGUUAUGAAAAGGAGUUCACUACUAAGGAAAAGGUGGGGACGCUUGAAAGGGAGGCUGUAUCAAGCCUGUUUCGCCCCCCUACUGCUAAUCAGUCAUGGAGGAAAGUUUUGAGCAUGGGAAAUCUUUUGAACGGACAUGAACCAAUACAAAGAGAGAUUGUAUUCUCAGUUCUGGAGAAACUAAGCAACGGUCACUAUUCGAGCCCAACUCCGUUAUGUACAGAUGAACAGAUUGAGACACAUAGGAUGUAUAUAUGUGGUACAUCUAAUGAUCUCUGGAUUGCUUUAUCCGUGACAUCCUGGGACUGA